rnacentral:rRNA from 1 species
AAUGAACGCUGGCGGCGCGCCUAAUACAUGCAAGUCGAGCGAGAAGACGUAGCGAUACGUUUGUAAAGCGGCGAACGGGUGAGGAAUACAUGGGUAACCUACCCUCGAGUGGGGAAUAACUAGCCGAAAGGUUAGCUAAUACCGCGUACGCUUCUUGGACUUCGGUUCAGGGAGGAAAGCGAUGCCGAGGGUAUCGCGCUCUUGGAUGGGCUCAUGUCCUAUCAGCUGUUGGUGAGGUAACGGCUCACCAAGGCUUCGACGGGUAGCUGGUCUGAGAGGACGAUCAGCCACACUGGCACUGCGACACGGGCCAGACUCCUACGGGAGGCAGCAGUAAGGAAUAUUGCGCAAUGGGCGAAAGCCUGACGCAGCGACGCCGCGGUGGGGGA